GAGCGUGGUUUUGUGGUUAAGACACCAGGCUCAUAACCUGGUGGUCGUAGGUUCG
rnacentral:tRNA from 11 species